rnacentral:rRNA from 1 species
GUGACUAGGCUGGAGGCUACACAUGCAAGUCGAGCGGAUGAGAAGAGCUUGCUCUUCGAUUCAGCGGCGGACGGGUGAGUAAUGCCUAGGAAUCUGCCUGGUAGUGGGGGACAACGUUUCGAAAGGAACGCUAAUACCGCAUACGUCCUACGGGAGAAAGCAGGGGACCUUCGGGCCUUGCGCUAUCAGAUGAGCCUAGGUCGGAUUAGCUAGUUGGUGGGGUAAUGGCUCACCAAGGCGACGAUCCGUAACUGGUCUGAGAGGAUGAUCAGUCACACUGGAACUGAGACACGGUCCAGACUCCUACGGGAGGCAGCAGUGGGGAAUAUUGGACAAUGGGCGAAAGCCUGAUCCAGCCAUGCCGCGUGUGUGAAGAAGGUCUUCGGAUUGUAAAGCACUUUUAAGUUGGGGAGGAAGGGCAGUAAGCGAAUACCUUGCUGUUUUGACGUUACCGACAGAAUAAGCACCCGGCUAACUCUG